CAUUCGUGUUUGCAUUUAAAUUUCAACUGUAAAUUGCUAUCAAAUAAUUAGAAAUAAGAAUGAAGUUUUUCAGUUGAUUUUUAUUUAAUUGCUUCCAUUUCUGCAUUAUUCAGUGUUGGGCACGUACUAGUUGUCUUAUAAUGAUUUUCGUUCUCUUUAUAAUGGCCGUAUAGGAGAUCAUUCAAGUCGAGCCUAGACAUGAUUUCAUAUUCCUCUGAUUGGGAAAGUAUCAACAUCCUACUUUAAAAAUGGACCAGAAUAUUUUGAUAAUAUUAAUGGUUUUAUGCAAUGUACAUGUAAAGGAUGGCAGUGUAGCAGAUCACUCAAGUCGAGCCGAGACAUGAUUUCAAAU